rnacentral:rRNA from 1 species
CUACGGGAGGCAGCAGUAGGGAAUAUUGCGCAAUGGAGGAAACUCUGACGCAGCGACGCCGCGUGAGCGAUGAAGGCCUUCGGGUCGUAAAGCUCUGUUGCAAGGGAAAAAGCAAGUGAUUGUACCUUGCGAGGAAGGAUCGGCUAACUUCGUGCCAGCAGCCGCGGUAAGACGAGGGAUCCUAGCGUUGUUCGGAAUCAUUGGGCGUAAAGCGGGUGUAGGUGGCUUUGUAAGUCGAGUGUGAAAGCCCUGGGCUCAACCCAGGAAGUGCAUUCGAUACUGCGAAGCUUGAGUGUCGGAGAGGUUACUAGAAUACCUGGUGUAGUGGUGAAAUACGUAGAUAUCAGGUGGAAUACCGGAGGCGAAGGCGGGUAACUGGCCGAACACUGACACUGAGAUCCGAGAGCGUGGGGAUCAAACAGGAUUAGAAACCCUAGUAGUCC